UAGUGCGCAACUAAUUAAUCCAUGAAAAUCGCCUAUAAAUUGUGACCAUUGCCAUCCAUUCUUUCAUUGGCAAGUGGCGACAAACAUAUCUAUAUCUUCCAGCAGAAAAGGCAGCCGGCCGGCCGUUUUACAGUUGGAUAAUGAAGACCGUACUUGUUUUCUUUGUUGCGUUGGUGUUGAUCUUAGCAACUGCAGAAGCCUCCACGGAGGAGAGUAGUACUUUUGGUCGAAACGUUAAUGCCGGGGGGAGUGAUAGUAUUACAAAAGAUGAAGCAGCCAACAAAGGCAGUAGUACUACUACUGUAAGCACGGAAACAGAGCCAGAGAAAGAAGUGAACCCGACUUUUCAGAGCUAUUCUGGAACAGCCCCUGAUGGUACUCACCAUUAUUACCCGAAUGGCAAGCCCACGGAGACAGUGCAGCCCACCAAGCACAGCUUGUGAGUCGUGAGAAGAAGAAUUAAUGGAGCUGCUUAAUGCUUAUGUAUGUAACUACGUAUGGUGUGGCUUGUAAUAAAGUGGAACUAGCAUGCAUGUAUAAGUAGCCAAAGAAAUGGCUAUACGUACAUGUACAUGUCAUGUUUAGUUUCACCAUGCAUGAUCAUGAAGUAAAACUAUGUACGUUGUGAAUUAUGGCUGUUCUGAAAUAAAAGGAUCGUGCAUGCAUAUAUAUAUAUAUGCAUGGAUAGCAUGGUUCUUCCUUCGAAAAUCAAGGUUGAUAUCUCAAUGGGUGGAGUUGUCCUAAAGGGUUGAAUCUGUUGUGGGAUUUUUAGAUGCAUCCGGAACCACUGGUCAUGGGGCUGUCUAUUCGGGUCAACAGGCCCAACGGGCCUUCCACAACACAGUACCCCCAAUGCCCUUUGGGCAAGAUUGGAUAAAGGGAAUUAUGAGUUUUCGUGCUUUUGGGCCCAUUGACCCAUGGAUGAGUUCACCCAAGGUAACAUGGCCCCAACAAGACUGUCUUGAAGAAAAAGCUAGAGCUUGGAGACGGAGACGAGCAAGACCUCGAAAUCCUCAGGGCCGUCGCAAAAGCGUGGCGCGGCCACUCCGGCAGCUCUAGACCAAUGAAUGAAUCCAAUGCCCAUUGGAGAGAUUUCAAAGGCAACCUUCUCGAUUCAAUCUACAAGCAAUGAGCAAAUCAUAUGCUGAAGACAACAAGGAUGCAACUUGGGACUUCCGGCAGUCGUUAUGUGAAUCUUAGAGCAUCUCCAACAGCAAGCGUUUGUACCUGAAGGAGUUGUAUUUGAAGAUUCUGGUGUUCCGGCAGGAGAGUCGGCUGGUGGUGAAGCAGCUGCCAUCACAUUCACGAGCGGCUGAGGGGCGGGGUCUGAACAUUACAAGCACCGGGUAGGGCUAGAGCCUGAGUUUGGUUGAUGUUGAUCCCCAGCGACGAGCCACCGCCAUUAAGAACCUCACACAAGCACUUUGGUUGCGAGCGGACGACGCUGGCAAGCUGUGUGCAACAUCCUGAAGACGGGGUCGAGGAGUUGCCGGUAAUAUAGUUAAGGCACGGUGACAUGCUGAUGAUCACGCUCGUACAACUCGACUGAGCUGCAGCUCCUGCCCAGAGCAUGGCCACUAGGACUAGGACCAGAUUCGUCUUCAUGUUUCCGUAUGCCGCCAUUAGAGAUGCUCUCAAGAAUUUUCUGGAAGUGCCUGUGAAUUGGUAAGAUGAUUAGUUUGGUUGACUGAGGGGAGGCAAGUAUGGCUUUUGUAGGGAAAUCAAGGAAGAAAAAGACAAAUGCAAAAUGGGUGAACAACUCCUCCAACUUUCUAACGGGUACUUCUCUUGUUACUUGGCAGCAGCUUAGAACUUGAGGUGUUCAAACCUGGCGACCUUUAACUUCUUCUGGAGCUAAGCAUACAAGAAAAAAAAGCAUUUUUUGAAGGUCGGUUAUGUGGGUGACCAACUGCUACUAUAUUUUAAGGUCUUCAAAAGCUUGGAGAAAGUCUUAGAAACUUCUUGUGAGAAGAAAGCAUAACUUGUCUUUACGUGUUUCUGACUCUUACCUUUCCUACAAUUGGCCUUUUAGCUUUACCAUUGAGAAUCUGAACUGGUUUAGAUAGAAAGAAGAAAAAUCCUAAAGUAGGAAGGAGUAGUGUAGGAGGAGAUGAUACUUACUCCUUUCAGUGCAAGCUGCCCUGAUAAUGACAUCCCAGCUUCGACCCUAGAAAAUCCUGAACCAUAAUUUGUAGUAGGUGUGUUAACCCGUCACCUCACAUAUGUAAAAUUACAGAUAUAAAAUUUUAAAAUAGCUUUUAUUA